UGGGGAAUUUUGGACAAUGGGCGAAAGCCUGAUCCAGCAAUGCCGCGUGUGUGAAGAAGGCCUUCGGGUUGUAAAGCACUUUUGUCCGGAAAGAAAUCCUUGGCUCUAAUACAGUCGGGGGAUGACGGUACCGGAAGAAUAAGCACCGGCUAACUACGUGCCAGCAGCCGCGGUAAUACGUAGGGUGCAAGCGUUAAUCGGAAUUACUGGGCGUAAAGCGUGCGCAGGCGGUUUGCUAAGACCGAUGUGAAAUCCCCGGGCUCAACCUGGGGAACUGCAUUGGUGACUGGCAGGCUAGAGUAUGGCAGAGGGGGGUAGAAUUCCACGUGUAGCAGUGAAAUGCGUAGAGAUGUGGAGGAAUACCGAUGGCGAAGGCAGCCCCCUUGGGGCCAAUACUGACGCUCAUGCACGAAAGCGUGGGGAGCAAACAGGAUUAGAUACCCUGGUAGUCCACGCCCUAAACGAUGUCAACUAGUUGUUGGGGAUUCAUUUCCUUAGUAACGUAGCUAACGCGUGAAGUUGACCGCCUGGGGAGUACGGUCGCAAGAUUAAACUCAAAGGAAUUGACGGGGUCAUAGCUGUUUCCU
rnacentral:rRNA from 1 species